UACGUAGGGGCCGAGCGUUGUCCGGAGUUACUGGGCGUAAAGCGCGCGCAGGCGGCCAUCUAAGCCCGGCGUGAAAGCCCCCGGCUCAACCGGGGAGGGUCGUCGGGGACUGGGUGGCUUGAGGACGGCAGGGGCUGGUGGAAUCCCCGGUGUAGUGGUGAAAUGCGUAGAGAUCGGGGGGAACACCCGUGGCGAAGGCGGCCGGCUGGGCCGACCCUGACGCUGAGGCGCGAAGGCGUGGGGAGCGAACGGG
rnacentral:rRNA from 1 species